UACGGAGGGUGCAAGCGUUACGCGGAAUCACUGGGCGUAAAGAGCGCGUAGACGGCAGCGCAAGUCUGGAGUGAAAUCCCAUGGCUUAACCAUGGAACUGCUUUGGAAACUGUGCAGCUGGAGUGCAGGAGAGGUAAGCGGAAUUCCUAGUGUAGCGGUGAAAUGCGUAGAUAUCAGGAGGAACACCAGUGGCGAAGGCGGCUUGCUGGACGAUGACUGACGUUGAGGCUCGAAAGCGUGGGGAGCAAACAGG
rnacentral:rRNA from 1 species